AGUGGCGGACGGGUGAGUAACGCGUAAGAAUCUAACUUCAGGACGGGGACAACAGUGGGAAACGACUGCUAAUACCCGAUGUGCCGCGAGGUGAAACCUAAUUGGCCUGAAGAAGAGCUUGCGUCUGAUUAGCUAGUUGGUGGGGUAAGAGCCUACCAAGGCGACGAUCAGUAGCUGGUCUGAGAGGAUGAGCAGCCACACUGGGACUGAGACACGGCCCAGACUCCUACGGGAGGCAGCAGUGGGGAAUUUUCCGCAAUGGGCGAAAGCCUGACGGAGCAACGCCGCGUGAGGGAGGAAGGUCUUAGGAUUGUAAACCUCUUUUCUCAAGGAAGAAGUUCUGACGGUACUUGAGGAAUCAGCCUCGGCUAACUCCGUGCCAGCAGCCGCGGUAAUACGGGGGAGGCAAGCGUUAUCCGGAAUUAUUGGGCGUAAAGCGUCCGCAGGUGGUCAGCCAAGUCUGCCGUCAAAUCAGGUUGCUUAACGACCUAAAGGCGGUGGAAACUGGCAGACUAGAGAGCAGUAGGGGUAGCAGGAAUUCCCAGUGUAGCGGUGAAAUGCGUAGAGAUUGGGAAGAACAUCGGUGGCGAAAGCGUGCUACUGGGCUGUAUCUGACACUCAGGGACGAAAGCUAGGGGAGCGAAAGGGAUUAGAUACCCCUGUAGUCCUAGCCGUAAACGAUGGAUACUAGGCGUGGCUU
rnacentral:rRNA from 1 species